GAGGAAGCAUUUGUUUUCCUCCCCUAUUAUCCCUGUUUUAGAGAUGAAGAAUCCAACACAGCGACAGAUGGGCUGCCCCCCAAGUCGCCGAGGCUCCAACCUGAUCUCCUAACUCCAGGCCCAGAGCCCUGUCCCCAUCCCAGUGGUCCUCUUCACACUGGGCCCUUGACCCUGGGAAAGAGUCAUUUCACCACAUCUUGGGCAGCCUGUGACUUCCAAAAUCACGUGGAGACACCUCUCCUAGUUUUUUGUUGUUUUUAAGUUUUUAGUUAAUUAAUGAAAAUCUUUUACACAGCCCUUGACACAGAGCUUCUGGUCCUGAGCAAACGCAGGCCGUUCCAGUUCAGGAGCAGGCUGCUCGGAGCAUCAGGUUACCCUGGCAAUAACCUCCCGGAGGAAGUGACUCAGCAGCUGCCAUCUAAAAGAUAAGUUGGAGUGAUUUGGACAAAGGGAGCAAGAAAAGAGGGUCCUGGGUAAGGGAAACCCACCUGCAAAGACCAAGAUGCAAAGAGCUUGCAUAUGUUGUUUCCUACUAUGUGUCAGGCCCCAUGUGGAGUAUUGGGGUGCAGAGCUGAGUAAGAUACAGGCCAGCCCCCAUGAAACCUGCAGUCUGAGUGGAGGAGACUAUCAAGCACCCGAGCCCACCCCGGGAAUGGUUCUUGGCACCUCCUCCAAGAAGCUGCCACUGCUGAUCUCACUGCCCAGUUACUCUGAGAUCAUCCAGAACCCCCAUGUCCGACCACACAAGCAGCCUUCAACUGGCACGUCUUCAAGCACCUUUUGUUAACAGACUCCAGAAUUCAUACUUAUGUAGGUCCACAGUUCUUCCUGGCCUCCAGAAAAAGCCCCACGUCCUCAGCAUGUUUCCAAGGUCACUAGCCCGUCCAGGAUGCUUCCCACCAUCUCCUGUCCUCACUCACCGCAGACAUUCGCCCUGCGUGCCUGAUAACAGCCUUCUCUGACACACCUUGGAUGCUACUGUCCUUGCCUUAGCCUCGCUGAGUGCAUCGCCUGGAACACCCUGAAAGGUAUCCUCUCCACCCAUAGGCAUCGGGCAAAGCACAGCUCAAGUGCCUCCUCCUCCCUCUGCCUUCCCCAUUUCUGCUCGUCUGAUGUGCUUCCGUGUCCAGCAUUUUAUUCGUGUCUUUCAGAGCAUUUGCCCAGCUGUAUCCAAGCCUCCUUCCCCACUCUCUGUCCACUGUAUCCUCCCACGAUGGUGAUUCGCAAACUCUGUGUGAAGGAAAGACCAGCGU